UCGACUGGCCACCAGCGGAGAUCCCAUUGCCGGAUAUCCCAUCGCCUUUCGAUGGGCCUACAUUCGUGCUACCGCCACCGUCACCAUUGCCAUCACCACCUCCGCCAUCUCCAUCACCACCUCCGCCAUCACCAUCACCACCUCCUCCGUCGACAAUACCACUUAUUCCUCCUUUUACCGGCGGCUUUUUGCCUCCUUUGCCCGGCUCUAAGCUUCCUGAUUUUGCCGGCCUUUUGCCUCUGAUUCCCAACUUACCUGAUGUGCCUCCCAUAGGUGGUGGUCCACCUGUUAACCAGCCAAAGCCGUCGUCACCAUCACCCCUAGUUAAGCCGCCACCACCACCACCUUCACCAUGUAAGCCAUCACCACCUGAUCAGUCUGCAAAGCAACCACCACAACCUCCUCCAGCAAAACAACCAUCACCUCCACCUCCUCCACCACCAGUUAAGGCACCAUCUCCAUCUCCAGCAAAGCAACCACCACCUCCUCCACCGCCAGUUAAGGCACCAUCUCCAUCUCCAGCCACUCAGCCACCUACAAAGCAACCGCCACCGCCGCCACGUGCUAAGAAAUCGCCUCUUCU
rnacentral:lncRNA from 1 species